AUACUUGCCACUGUCGUCUGGACCUAUAGCAUUGAAACAUGAGUUUUUCAAAAGAGGAAAAAUGGAAGGAAGUGUGGAUCCGCCAGCGAAAAAAGACCCACAGGCUGACUUAAACACCAAGAGAGCUGUGAUGAUGUCGAAAAGAUAUUAUCAUCAUCGGUACAUAGGAAGAGGCUAAUUUCAAUCCGUGAACAGAUUCAAGGAACAGAUACCAAGACUCCUGAAAGAAAAUCUUUGAAUUAUCUGUAUGUCUAAUCCAUGAAGAUUAUAAAUAAAUUUUGAAUUUCUCAAGCGAAGCAACAAAA